rnacentral:misc_RNA from 1 species
CUUUUUUUUUUUUUUUUUCUCAUUUAAAUUGUCUUUGUUCACAGCAUUACAAUUGUUUAGGAUUGACUGAUAUGUGCUACGUCUCAAGCAUUCUUGUAGUUUUGAAACUGCAGCAUAGUGUAUAUUCUUCGCUCACUUGAUUCAAAAGAAAGGAAAUAGUUAUUUUUUUGUCCUAUUAUUUUUUUAAAAAAUAAAUUCUUAUGAUAAUUUUUUUAAUCCUUGUAGUGAAACAUCUCUCAUACCCUUGUUUAGGUGUUCCAUUAGGCUAAUAGAGUACGUUCAAAAAUCAACCUGC